CGAAACUGCUCGGCUUCGGUUUCUACUUUCCGUAAACGAGAACGAGCUUUUUCGAGUUGUUCAAUAGCCCCCCACGCAGUUCUUCUGAAUUUCGAAUAGUAUUCAAGAUCCUCUGUUUUCGAUUAUCUAAUAAAUCACUUAAUGAAAGUAGAUUAUUAUUCCAUUCCUUUCCAAAAUUCCAUAAUCCCUUCCCGAACCAAACAUGAAUCUUUCGAUUCAUUUGGCUCUCACGCUCAAUUACUUAAGGUAAAUUCUCAUAUCUUUUUUUAUGAAUGUAAUGAGCCUAUCUUCUCUUCUUUGUUCAUAUUCCAAAAAGAUAUCGAAACUAAUGUAAGACCAAAAUAGUCGGAGGACUCUUCUGACAAACUCAAAAAUAUGUAAUUGUCAGCAAAGUUGUUUUCUUUUUUUUCAAAUCCAAAAAGUUCUUCUUACUUAGAAUAGGUCGUCGAUUCAGCAUUAGAUAAAGGGGGUAAAAUCCCUGUUUUUACAAUUUACAAUAAGCGGUUAAAAUCAUUUUAUCAAUAUGAGUAUCCUAUAUCGAUAAAAUAUUUAUUUUGAAACCACCUCUAACAUAGUGGUAGAAAGAGUACCAUGCUGCGUCUAGACUUCAAACAGUUUGUUUUAACCAUGUUAAUAGUUCCACAUUAUUGGUUAAUAGAGAAUCAAAAUAAAUUUACCAAUGAAUCGCGAAAUGCUAUGGUUCUUACAUAUAAUUUAUGAAUUUAUACAGAAGUAAUUCGCGAGAUCAUGCACCUCUCUUUCCUACUUAUAACGGAAAAGGGUACAGUUGGUUGGUCCAACCUAUUCUUGAAAUAAACAACUCGCACACACUCCCUUUCCAAAAAAAAUCAAUACACCAAGCACUACACUUAGAUUUAUUGGAUUUGUUGCUAAAAUAUCGGUAUUAAACCCGAAACUCCCGGCAGAUGGCCAGUGGCCCAAAGAAACGAAAGAAUCGGUUACGUUUUUCAUAUGAUCUCCUCUUAUAGAUAGACUAAAAAAUCGAACAGAGUUCUUUUUGUAGCACUUCGCCCCUCUUUUUAUUUAUUCUUUUAUUUUUUCUGAAAUUGAGUAAAAAAAUAAAAAAUAUUCGAGUUAGUUAGAAAUUAUGAACUAAUGAACUAGCCCUUUUAUUGGUUAUUGGAACACUAACACUUACUAAAAAGAGUUUCCCUUGGUCUAUGAACGGGAAGGAUGAAAGCGAGUCAAGUAGGCUAAUUCCUCAUCCGCAAAUCAGCCCUUCCCCUAGGUUCUUUUCUCAAAGAAUAAAGAAUGGUAGGAGGGAAAUCUUGAUAGAAUUUGAAAAAGCAAACGACAAGUCGAAGGCAAUAAAAUAUGAAAAAUAUAUUUUUCAUAUUUCUAAGCUAAGAUUAAACAAAAGGAUUUGCAAAUAAAAGUGCUAAUGCUACAACCAGUCCAUAAAUUGUUAAAGCUUCCAUAAAAGCUAGACUAAGCAAUAGCGUACCUCGUAUUUUGCCCUCUGCCUCAGGCUGUCUCGCGAUACCCUCUACAGCUUGACCCGCAGCAGUCCCUUGACCAACUCCAGGUCCAAUAGAAGCAAGCCCUACGGCCAAUCCAGCAGCAAUAACGGAAGCGGCAGAAAUCAGUGGAUUCAUGAUAAGUUCCUCGUACCAAAAAAAGAAAUGGUUAAUGAUACAAUCAACCAAUGAAUUAUGACUUAAUUAUUCCCUCACUAGGACUCAUCCAGUCGAAGUAACUAAGAACUUCGGAUUGAAGUAAUAAGAUUCUUGAAUCAUCAAAACAACUUCGAUAUAUCUUUUUUACUUUUUAGCCACAGAGUCUUUGUGAACCCAUACGACUUUCAUUCUUCCAUUUCUUGUUCUUGGUUCGAACUGUUAGUUGAAUUAUUUCUUGAUUUCAUCCGUUUAGUCAUUCAAUUCACAGUCACAAGGGGCCGGAAGGACUUCUAGUCUAUUAGAAUCCCCUAGAAAAAUAUAUCUUUAGUAGUUCAUUUCAUAUAUAACUAGCACUAGGCAAUAUCUAAUAUCACAUAUACAUGUCUUUCUUCCAUAACGUAAACCAAGCAUUCAUCUUAGAUUUAAUCCUAUUCGAGAAUCAAGCGUCGAAACAUCUAGAAGGGUUCGCUUAUAGUUAUUCAAGUACAGAUACCUCCCGCCCCUUUCUAAAAUACUAAAAAAAACUUUUGAAAAAUUCUUUUGAAUCUUACCUUUUCUUAUUAUUCCACCUAGAGAAAUCUAAAUGGACAAAUUGAUUAGGACGACAAAUUCCAUAGGUAUAGAAAUAUCAUUAUUUGAUUGAUCUAAGUUCAUGCACUUUAUUAAUAAAACUGAAUAAAAAAAUUAUUCAUUUUUAUUAUUUAUUUAUUAUUAAUAUUUUGGUGAAUCGUUGAAUAAAAUCAACUGAAAGGGAAAUCAUUUCGCCCUUUUUUUUAUUUAAUUACACGUCGUAAACCUAUACAACAAGAAUUAUUGACAAAAAUUCUUAUAUUCAAAUUGUUUUAACAAUGAAUUAAUAAUGAGAUGGACUAAGCAAUCUAAAGUGAAUAUUCAUUGAGACGAAGUAUGAUAUUAAGUGAAGGAAAGGGGAAUUUUAGGAAAAAGAUCUAAAAACAAAGAUCUUUUUCCCCUUACUCUUUAAUAUCAUCGUAAUGUUUUUGCUAUCAUUCUAGAUCGUAUAUAGCAUAGUUGUAUAUUUAGAUUCCCCUAUUCUAUUCCGUAAGUUAAGUAAUUCUCUUAAGCCACCCACCAUAUACAUUUAUACAUUGCUGUGGGCUAAGCUAAAAAAGACUAUUUCAAUGAUGGCCCUCCAUGGAUUCACCUAUAUAAGCCGCGGCUAAAGUUGCAAAAAUAAGAGCUUGAAUACCACUUGUAAAUAAUCCAAGGAGCAUGACAGGUAUAGGAACUACUAAGGGUACUAAAGAAACAAGAACAACAACUACUAAUUCAUCAGCUAAGAUAUUCCCGAAAAGUCGAAAACUAAGUGAUAAAGGUUUUGUGAAAUCUUCUAAGAUGUUAAUGGGUAAAAGUAUUGGGGUUGGUUGAAUAUAUUUUCCGAAAUAACCUAAUCCCCUUUUUGUAAGACCCGCAUAGAAAUAUGCCACGGAUGUGAGUAAAGCCAAAGCAACAGUAGUAUUUAUAUCAUUCGUGGGUGCGGCUAACUCCCCAUGAGGUAAUUGUAUGAUUUUCCAAGGUAAAAGAGCUCCUGACCAAUUAGAAACAAAAAUAAAUAAAAACAUAGUGCCAAUAAAAGGAACCCAGGGCCCAUAUUCUUCUCCAAUUUGAGUUUUUACUAACAUCUCGAAUGAAUUCAAGAACAUAUUCGAAGAAAUUCUGACCCCCGGUCGGAAUGGUUUGUGGGUUCCGAACAGCUAUAGUGGCUGAACCUAAUAAGAUAGCAAUUACAACCCACGAAGUAAUAAGUACUUGGCCAUGUACUUGGAAACCUCCUAUUUGCCAAUAGAAAUGUUGGCCUACUUCCACACCGGAUAUAUCGUAUAACCCCUUUAGAGUAUUGAUGGAACAUGAUAGAACAUUCAUAUUGCCUUGCCCUCUGAAAAAAUCGAACUUUAAACAAAAUUUUUUGAUUCAACCAUCUCUUUGUCUACUUGAAUCGGAUAUUUUGAAUACCAACUAAGAUUUAGAAUACUAAUAAAUCACAUAAUAUCCCCAGUUAUUUUGAUCUAUUUUUGGAAAUUCAGAAAUAGUAAGCGAUUCCAUAAGGGAUUUCUAGGGAUUUCUGAAGUAAGUUAUUUAUCUUAUUAUGUUAUUAUUAAUCAAGGAUUUCUUAUAUAGCUAGAACGACCCUCACAAAUUGCGAAUACUAAUUUGUUAAGAAUUAAUCGGAUUGAGGAUAUGGCGUCAUCAUUCGCUGGAAUUGAAAUAUCUGCGAGAUCGGGGUCACAAUUUGUAUCGGUUAAACAAAUUGUUGGAAUUCCUAAAGUAAUACACUCUCGCAGGGCCGUAUAUUCUUCGUGCUGAUCCACGAUGAUUACAAUAUCGGGUACCCCUGUCAUAUAUUUAAUCCCGCCCAGAUAUGUUUGCAAGCGAGAUAAUUGUCUUUUCAACAUAGCUGCAUCUCUUUUCGGGAGACGGUUGAGUCUCCCUGUUUUUUGUUCCAUUCUCAAGUCCCUGAACUUAUGAAGUCUUGUUUCUGUAGUGGACCAAUUCGUUAACAUACCGCCAAGCCAUUUUUUAUUAACAUAAUGACACCGGGCCCUUAUUGCAGCCCACUCUACUGAAUCAGCUGCUUUAUUUUUGGUACCAACAAUUAAGAAUUGUUUUCCCCUACUUGCUGCGUCAAAAACUAAAUCACAAGCUUCUGAUAAAAAACGAGCAGUUCUAGUAAGAUUUGUAAUAUGAAUACCCUUACGCUUUGCAGAGAUAUAAGGCGCCAUUUUAGGAUUCCAUUUCCUAGUACCAUGACCAAAAUGAACUCCUGCCUCCAUCAUCUCUUCCAAAUUUAUGUUCCAAUAUCUUCUUGUCAUUUCUCCCCACAACCUCCCCCCUUUUUUUAUUCUUUUCAAAAAAAAAAAGAGACGAGGAACCCUGAACUGAAAUAAAUAAAUUGUUCCGAUGGAACCUUCUCUUCUACUGUAGAGGACGUAGAUACACGACCCCAAACCAUUAUUCUUUUUCUAUUNNNNNNNNNNNNNNNNNNNNNNNNNNNNNNNNNNNNNNNNNNNNNNNNNNNNNNNNNNNNNNNNNNNNNNNNNNNNNNNNNNNNNNNNNNNNNNNNNNNNCUACGUCAGCCUUGUUAGUGUUAUAACGCCCUGGGAAGCACAUACAGUCUGAUGAACGACUGGCGAUAAAUGUGAUCAUUGCACUUGGACAAACACAUGGUCGGACUUUGUCAGGUGUGACAUUUAUCAUCACCCCUGGAAUGUAUACACGAUCGGACGAUGUCGGGCAUUACAGGUUAUCAUCGCCCUUGGAAUACAUAAACGAUCGUACGAUUUCGGGCGUAGCAUACCCGCAUGCCUUGGGAGGCAUAUAUUGUUGGAUGACAUCACGUGUGAGAUGCCAUUAUCUCCUUUGGACAACAUAAUGGUGGGACGAGAUCGUGUGUUCUAUGACAUCAUCGCUAUUAGGAAGCACAGCAGUCGGAUGAUGUCGGGUAUGCCAUGCAAUCUUUUGACCUUGGACAGCACACACACGGUGGGACGACUUUGGCGUGGUAGGCAAUCAUUGCACUUGGAUAGAAUAUACGGUUGGAGAAUGUUAGGCGAGGCAUGCAAUUAUGGCCUUGGCAAGAACUUAUGGUCGAACGACGUCGAGCGUGGCAACCAUUAUCGCCCUUGAAAAACAUUGACAGGUCCAAUAACAUUGGGCGUUGCAUACCGUAAUCUCCCUUGGACAACAUACCCAGUCGGACGAUGUUAGGCAUUGUGCAUGUUAUCAUCGCCCUUGGACUACACAAAUGUCGGAACGAUGUUGGGCAUGGUAAUGCUAUCAUCGCCCUUGGGCACCACACACAUUCGGACGUCGUCAGGCGUUAUAUGCAAUCAUUGAACUUUAGACAGUACACACGGUCGGACGACGUCGACAUGGCAUGCCAUCAUCACCUUUGGAUUGCACACGCAGACGGACGACGUCGGGCGUGGCAUGCAAUCAUCGCCACUGUGCAACAUACACAGUCGAAUGAAGUCUAGCUUAGCAUGCCAACAUGGCGCUUGAAAACACACACGGUCGGAUGAUGUCAUCCAUGGUAUGCCAUCAUCGCAAUUGGACAACAUAGACAAGGUCGAACGACGUCGGGCGUAGCAUAAUCAUCGCCUUUGGAUAGCAUACAGGGUCAGACGACGUUUGACGUGCCAUGCCAUCAUCACCCAUGUAAGCACACAGAGUCAGAUGAUGUCAGCCGUGGCAAAGCCAUCACGCGCUUGGACAUCACACACGAUCAGACUACGUCGGUUGUGGAAUGACAUCAUGGCCCUUGGGCAGCACACACGGUCAGACGACAUCGUGCGUGGCAUGCUAUCAUCGCACUUAGGCAGCACACACGGUCGGAUUACAUCAGGUAUUAGAUGCCAUCAUUUCCCAGGGGCAACACAGGCGAUCGGAAUACGCCGGGCGUUGCAUGCCAUUAUCCAUCGUGGUUGUCGCAUUCAAACUAAUCUAAUAUAUCCUUCUGGAUUUUCCCAUCGUGUUGUACUAGUCUUUCAUUUUUUAUUAAUACAGCACGAAGCAUAUUACUUUUCUAGUUUUACUUUUAUAUUAUCUAUAUAAAUAAACAUAUAUUAAUAUUUUUUUAAAAAAUAAACCAAAUUAUGGAUAUGACAAGUAGAUGUCAAAAUAUGAUGCAGAAUAAAAAACAAAAUUGCGUCAAGCGGAUAUUCGACCCCAAAGUUUUAAAUCAUUUGAAGUUUCACUAAAUCAAAGAUUGAAGCUAAAAAAAAGUAGUUGUAAAUUUGUGAAAUAUCAAGUGGCCAUAACUUUUGACUAAGAUGUCCGAUUGAGGUAAAUUUUAUCUCAUUAUGGUUAUUUUCUUUAGAUCUACCGAACAAAUUGCCAUAUGAGGUUUGGACGAGUCAAUUUUCCAAAAAACAUCUUUUAACCCAUUCAUUUUUGAAUUUCCCAAUUUUGAAGAAAAUUGUUAUUCUUUAUUGCUAUGAAUCUGAUAAAAGAUAUUAGAUUUUAGAGCUCGAAAUACAUCUUAGAAUGUCAAAUUUAAUGUUAGAUAAUAUAUUUUAUGAUUAAAAGCUUUUAACCCGUUCAAUUUCAAUUUCAUUUCUCUUAAUUUUGCACACAUGGUCGGACGAUGUCGAUCAUGGCAUACCGUCAACGGCAUUGGGCAGCACACGCAGUCGAACGACGUCAGGCGUCACAUGCCAUCUUUGCCCAUGGAUAGCAAACACGAUAGACGUUGUGGGGCGUGGCAUGCCAUCAUCAUCGCCCUUGGACUGCAUAAAGAGUCGGAUGAAGUCUAGCGUGACAUGCCAUGAUGUCCCUUGGACAACACACACGGUCGAACUACUUCGGGCAUGGUAGGCCAUCGUCUCCCUUAGGAAGUAUACACAGGGUCGAACAAUGUAAGGCGUGGCAUGCCAUCAUCUCCCUUGGACAGCAUACACGAUUGGAAGACUUCGGGCAUGUCAUGUUAUCAUCGCCCUUGGACAGCACACACGAUCGCACUACAUGUGAUAUAGUAAUGCUAUAAUCACCCUUGGGCAGAAAACAAGGUUGGACGAUGUCGAGCGUUAAAUGACAUCAUUGCCCUUGGAUAACAUAAAUGGUUGGACUACAUAGGGUACGUCAUGUUAUCAUCUUCCUUGGAAGCAUACACAAUCGAACGAAGUCAGUGAUAGCAUGUUAUCAUCGCCCUUGGAAUUUACCCACGAUCGAACAACGUCGGGUGUCGCAUGCCUUUAUUGCCUUUGGACGCACAUACGGUCAGAUGACAUGAGGCGUGGAAUGCCAUCUUCGCCAUUGGGAAGCACACACGGUCGGACGAUGUUGGUGUGACAUGCCAUCUUCGCCCUUUGACAGCACACAUGGUGGGACGAUGUGGGCAUGGCAAGCCAUUAUCGCCCUUAGAGAACAUUCAUGGUCGACUGACUACGUCAGUCAUGGCAAGCCAUCAUGGCCUUUGUCAAGGACACAAGAUCGGAUGGUGUCGGUAGUGGCAAUGCAAUCAUUCGAUCUUUGAAUGUACACACGGUCAGACAAUGUUACAUGACAUUAUCAUGUUAUCUUCACCAUUUUAUAGCACACACUAUCGGACAACUUCGGGCAUGGCCUUCCUACAUAGCUUUUUGGUAGCACAAAUGGUCAAAUGACGUCGGGCUUGGCAUGCCAUCAUUGCCAUUCGGCAGCCUAUACACUCAGACGUGGCAUAUUAUCAUCUUCAUUGGGCAGCACACGCAGUCGGACGACGUCAGGCGUGGCAUGCCAUCUUUGCCCUUGGACAACACACAUAGUGGGAUGACUUCAGGCGUUGUAUGCCAAUAUCAUCCUUUGAUAGCAUACACAGGGAUGGACGAUGUCGAGCAUGGCUUGCCAUCAUUGACCUUGGAAAGCAUACACGAUCGAACGAAGUCGAGAGUUACAUUUUAUCAUUGCCUUUGGACUGCACUCACGCUCAGACGACGUUAGGUGUGGUAAUGUUAAAAUCUCCCUGGGCAGCACACAUGGUCAGAAAAGUAGGCGUUCAAUUCCAUCCAGUAUUGCCCUUUGGAAAUAACACAUGGUAGGACAAUGACGACGUGGCAUGUCUCAUCCUCUUUGGACUGCACACAUGGAUGGAUGACAUCAAGGGUGGUAUGCCUGCAUAGCCCUUGGGUAGCUCACAGAAACAGAUGAAGUCGGGCGUGGCAUGCUAUUAUCUCAAUUAGGUAGCACAUGCGAUUUGACGACAUCGGGCGUUGCAUAUUAUCAUCACCCUUGGAAAGCACAAAUUAUCGAACAACGUCAGGCGUAGCAUGCCCGCAUGGACUUUCAGAAGCACAAACGGUCGAAUGACGUUGGACAUGGAUAUCCAUCAUCGCAAUUGUGCAGCACACGCGGUCGUACGACAUCUUGCGUAGCAUGCUCUCAUGGACCUUGGCCAGCACACCCGUUCAAACGACGUCUGGCGUGGUCUGCCAUCGUGUCCCAUGCCUAGCACACACGGUUAACGUUUGCCAAUGCUAUCAUCGCCCUUGGGUAGCAUACACGGUCGGACGACGUCGGGCAUCAAUGUCAUCAUUGCUCUUUGAACAACACACACAGGUAUUAUGACGUCGACAUGGCAUGCCAUCAUCGACUUUUGACUACACACAUUGAUAGUCAACAUCGUGUGUGACAUGCCAUUAUUUCCCUUGUGUAGCACACAGAGUCAAAAGACGUCGGGCAUUAGAUGCCAUUAUUGCUCUUAGACAACACACACGGUUGGACGACGUCGAGCAUGGCAUGCCAUCAUCAUCCCCUUUGACGGCUUACAUGAUCGGACUAUGUCAGGCGUGGCAUGCCCGCAUGGCCCUUGGGCAGCACACACGGUCGAAUAACGUCGGACGUGGCAAUCCAUUAUCGCAAUUGUGCAGCACACGCGGUUAGAUGACAUCUCGCGUGGAAUUUUCUCAUGGACCUUGGCCAGCAUACCUGGUCAAACGACGUCUCGUGAGUUAUGCCAUCGUGGCCCUUGGCCAGCACACACGAUUAGACGUUGUUUGCCAAUGCUAUCAUCGCCCUCGGGUUGCAUAAACGGUCGAACGACGUCGGUUAUCAAAUGUCAUCAUUCCAUUUGGACAACACAUACGGUAGGGCGACGUUGAGCGUGGCAUGUAAUUUUCUCCAUUGGAAUGAACACACAAUCGGAGGAUAUCGGGCGUCGCAUUCAAUCAUCGCAAUUGCACAGCAUAAAUAGGAUCAGACGAUGUUGGGCGUGGCAUGCCAUCAUCUCUCUUGGACAACAUACUAUAUCAGACAACGUCAUGCAUGCCAUGCAAUCAUCGCCCUUGGAAAACACCCACAGUAAGACGAAAUCAGGCGUGGCAUGACUCAUGUCCCUAGGGCAGCAUACAUGGUCGGACGAUGUCAACCGUGGCAAUGUAAUCAUCGCCCUUGGAAUGAAAACACAGUCGAACUACGUCAGGCAUGGCAUGCAAUCAUCGCCCUUGGAAAGUAUACACGAUCAGAUGAUGUUUGGCAUGGUAUGUUAACAAUGUUCUUGAAGAGCACACAUGAUCGGAAGAUGUCAGAAGUGUUCCUGCAUGGACCCUGGGCAGCACACAGGGUCGGACGACGUCGAGCGUUAAAUGCAAUCAUUUCCCUUGGACAACAUAAACGGUUGGGCUACGUCGGAUAUGUAAUGUUAUCAUCUUCCUUGGAAGCAUACACGAUCGAGCGAAGUCAGGCGUAGCAUGUUAUCAUCUACCUCGGAAUGCACACACAAUCAGACAACGUCGGGCGUGGUAUGCUCGUAUGGUCCUUGGGCAGCACACACGGUCAGAUGACAUCGGGCGCGGAAUGCAAACUUUGCCAGUGGGAAGCAAACACGAUCGGACAACGUUGGGCGUCCCAUGCACUCUUCGCCGUCGGGACAAUACAUACGGUGGGACGACGUCAGGCAUGGCAUGUUAUCAUCGCCCUUGGACAGCACACACGAUCGCACUACAUGUGGCAUAGUAAUGCUAUAAUCACACUUGGGAAGCACACAAGGUUGGACGAUGUCGAACGUUAAAUGCCAUCAUUGCCUUGAACAACAUAAACGGUUGGACUACGUAGGGUACGUCAUGUUAUCAUCUUCCUUGGAAGCAUACACAAUCGAGCGAAGUCAGUUCUACCAUGUAAUCAUCGCCCUUGGAAUGCAUACACGAUCGAACAACGCCGGGCGUUGCAUGCCUUUAUUGCCCUUGGGCGGCACAUACAGUGAGAUGACAUGGGGCGUGGAAUGCGAUCUUCGCCAUUGGGAAGCACACACGGUCGGACGAUGUUGGACGUGACAUGCCAUCUUCGCCCUUGGACACACACAUGGUGGAACGACGUUGGGCAUGGCAAGCCAUCAUUGCCCUUAGACAACAUUCAUGGUCGGACUACGUCAGUCAUGGCAAGCCAUCAUGGCAUUUGUCAAGGACACAAGAUUGAAUGGUGUCGGUCGUGGCAAUGAAAUCAUCGCUCUUUGAAUGUACACACGGUCAGACGACGUCGUACAUGACAUGUUAUCUUCGCCAUUUGAUAGCACACACUAUCAGACGACUUCGGGCAUGGCCUUCCUACAUGGCUUUUUUGUAGCUCAAACGGUCAAAUGACGUUGGGCUUGGCAUGCCAUCAUCGCCAUUCGGCAGUCUAUACAUUCAGACGUGGCAUACCAUCAUCUUCAUUGGGCAGCACAAGCAGUUGGACGAUGUCAGGCGUGGCAUGCCAUCUUUGCCCUUGGACAACACACAUAGUGGGAUGACUUCAGGCGUUGUAUGCCAACAUCAUCCUUUGAUAGCAUACACAGGAAUGGACAAUGUCAAGCAUGGCUUGCCAUCAUUGACCUUGGAAAACAUACACGAUCGGAGGACGUCGGGCAUCAAAUGUCGGCAUUGCCCUUUGAACAACACACACGGUAUGAUGACGUCGACAUGGCAUGCCAUCAUCGACUUUUGACUACACACAUUGAUAGUCAACAUCGUGUGUGACAUGCAAUUAUUUCCCUUGUGCAGCACACAGAGUCGAAAGACGUCGGGCGUUAGAUGCCAUUAUUUCUCUCAAACAACACACAUGGUUGGACAACGUCGAGCAUGGCACGCCAUCAUCGCCCUUUGACGGCUUACAUGAUCGGACUAUGUCAGGCGUGGCAUGCCCGCAUGGCCCUUGGGCAGCACACACGGUCGAAUGAUGUCGGACGUGGCAAUCCAAUAUCGUAAUUGUGCAGCACAUGCGGUCAGACGCCAUCUAGCGUGGAAUUUUCUCAUGGACCUUGGCCAGCACACCUGGUCGAACGACGUCAGGUGAGUUAGGCCAUCAUGGCCCUUGGCAAGCACACACAAUUAGAUGUUGUUUGCCAAUGCUAUCAUCGCCCACGGGUAUCAUAAACGGUCAUAUGACAUCGGGCGUCAAAUGUCAUCAUUCCCAUUUGGACAACACACACGGUAAGACGACUUCGAGCGCUGAUGUAAUUUUCUCCAUUGGAAUGAACACACGGUCGGAGGAUAUCGGUCAUCGCAUUCAAUCAUCGCAAUUGCACAGCAUAAACAUGGUUGGAUGAGGUCGGGCGUGGCAUGCCAUCAUCGCCCUUGGACAGCAUACUAUAUCAGACAACGUCAUGCAUGCCAUGCAAUCAUCGCCCUUAGAAAACAGCCACAGUAAGACGAAAUUAGGCGUGGAAUGGCCUCAUUGCCCUUGGGCAGCAUACAUGGUGGAACUACGUCGGUCGUGGCAUUCCAUCAUUGCCCUUAAAUAACAUAGAUAGUCGUCCGACGUCAGGCGUGUCAUUUUAUCAUCGCCCAUGGUUAGCACACACGGUGAGACAAUGUCGUCCGUGGCAAUGCAAUCAUUACACUUGGACAACACACACAAUUGGAAUACGUUGGGCAUCGCAUGACUCAUGUCAUUUUGUAAGCAUACAUGGUCGGACGACGUCCACCGUGGCAAUGUAAUCAUUAUCCUUGGAAUGCAAACACGGUCGAACUACGUCAGGGAUGGCAUGCCAUCAUCGCCCUUGGAAAGUAUACACGAUCAGAUGAUGUUAGGCGUGGUAUGUUAACAAUGUUCUUGAAGGGCUAACAUGAUCGGAAGAUGUCACGAGUGUUCCUACAUGGACCAUGGGAAGCACACAAGGCCGGACGACGUCAAGCGUUAAAUGCCAUCAUUUCCCUUGGACAACAUAAACGGUUGGGCUACGUCGGGUAUGUAAUGUUAUCUUCUUCUUUGGAAGCAUACACGAUCGAACGAAGUCAGGCGCAGCAUGUUAUCAUCUCCCUUGGAAUGCACACACAACCAGACAAUGUUGGGCGUUGCAUGCUCGUAUCGACCUUGGGCGGCACACACGGUCAGAUGACAUCGGGCGUGGAAUGCAAACUUUGCCAUUGGGAAGCAAACACGGUCGGACAACGUUGGGAGUCCCAUGCACUCUUCCACAUUGGGACAAUACAUAUGAUGGGACGACGUCGGACAUGUCAUGUUAUCAUCGCCCUUGGACAGCAACACGAUCGCACUACAUGUGGCAUAGUAAUGCUAUAAUCACCCUUGGACAGCACACAAGGUUGAACGAUGUCGAGCGUUAAAUGCCAUCAUUGCUCUUGGACAACGUAAACGGUUUGACUACGUAGGGUACGUUAUGUUAUCAUCUUCCUUGGAAGCAUACACAAUCGAACGAAGUCAGUCGUAGCAUGUAAUCAUCGCCCUUGGAUUGCACACACGAUCGAACAACGUCGGGCGUCGCAUGCCUUUAUUGCCCUUGGGCGGCACAUACGGUGAGAUGACAUGGGGCGUGGAAUGCCAUCUUCGCCAUUGGAGAGCACACACGGUCGGACGAUGUUGGGCGUGACAUGCAAUCUUCGCCCUUGGACAGCACACAUGGUGGGACGCCGUUGGGCAUGCCAAGCCAUUUUUGCCAUUUGACAAUAUACACGGUCGGACUACGUCAGGCGUGUCAUGCCAUCAUGGCCUUUGUCAAGGACACACGAUCGGACGAUGUCGGUCAUGGCAAUGCAAUCAUUUUUCUAGGAAUGUACACAUGGUCAGACGAUGUCAGACGUGGCAUGUCAUCUUCGCCAUAUUAUAGUACACACAAUCGGACGACUUCGGGCAUGGCAUGACUACAUGGCCUUUUGGCAGCACAAACGGCCAAAUGACGUCGGGUGUGGCAUGCCAUCACCGCCAUUCGGCAGCAUAUACAGUCAGACGUGGCAUACCAUCAUCUUCUUUGGGCAGCACAAGCAGUCGGAUGACGUCAGGAGUGACAAGCCCUCUUAGCCCUUGGACAACACACAUGAUGGGAUGACUUCAGUCGUUGUAUGCAAAAAUCACCCUUGGACAGCAUACACAGGGAGGGACGAUGUCGAGCAUGGUUUUCCAUCAUUAACCUUGGGAAGCACACACGAUCGGACGAAGUGGGUGAGUUAUAUUUUAUCAUUGCCUUUGGACUGCACACACGCUCAGACGACGUUUGGUGUAAUAAUGUUAGAAUCUCCCUUGGGCAGCACACAUGGUCGGAAAAAGUAGGGCAUUUCAUACCAUCCCAUAUUGCGCUUUUGAAAGAACACAUGGUAGGAAAACGACGACGUGGCAUGUCUCAUCACCUUUGGACUGCACACAUAGACGGAUGACGUCAAGCGUGGCAUGCUUCAUAGUCCUUGGGUAGCACACACGAAGGGUUGACGUCGGGCAUGGCAUGCCAUUAUAUACAUUAGGCAGCACAUGCGAUCGGACGACCUCGGGCGUGGCAUGUUAUCAUCGCCCAUGGAAAGCACACAUGAUCGGACUACGUCAGGCGUGGCAUGCCCGCAUGGUCCUUUGGCAGCACACAUGGUCGAAUGAUGUCGGACAUGGUAAUCCAUCAUCGCAAUUGUGCAGCACACUCGGUAGGACGACAUAUCGCGUGGCAUGCCCUUUAUGGCCCUUGGCCAGCACACACAGUUAGACGAUUUUUGCAAAUGCUAUCAUUGUCCUUGGGUAGUAUAAACGGUCAGACAACGUCGGGCAUCAAAUGUCAUUAUUGCCCUUUGGACAACACACACGGUAGGAUGACGUUGACGUGGCAUGCCAUCAUCGCCUUUUGACUGCACACAUGGAUAGUUGACGUCAUGUGUGACAUGCUAUUAUUGCCCUUGUGCAGCACACACGGUCGAACGACAUCAGGUGUUAGAUGCUAUCAUUGAUCUUAGACAACACAAACGGUCGAAUGACGUUGGACAUGGCUAUCCAUCAUCAUAAUUAUGUAGCACACGUGGUCGAAUGAUAUCUAGCCUGGCACGCCCUCAUGGACCUUCGCCAGCACACCCAGUUGAAUGAUGUAUGGCGUCACAUGCCAUCAUGUCCCUUUCUUAGCACACGCGGAUAGACGACGUUUGCCAAUGCUAUCAUCGCCCUUGGAUAGCAUACACGCUCACAUGACGCCGGGCAUCAAAUGUCAUCAUUUCCCUUUAGACAACACACACGGUAGGACGACGUCGAUGUGGCAUGCCAUCAUCGCCUUUUGACUACACACAUGGAGAGUCGACGUCGUGUGUGACAUCCCUUUAUUGCCCUUGUGCAACACACACGGUCGAACAACGUCGGGCGUUAGAUGCCAUCAGUGCUCUUAGACAACACACACGCUCAAAAGACAUCGAGCGUGGCACGCCAUCAUCUCCCUUUGACAGCUUAUAUGAUAAGAAUAUGUCGGGCGUGGCAUGCCAUAUUCUCCCUUGGGAAGCACACACCGUCAGGUAAUAUCAGGCGUGGCAUCCCAUCAUCACCUUCGGAAAGCAUACAAGAUCAGACGACAUCGGGCAUGACAUAUUAUGAUCUCCCUAUGACUGAACACAUGAUUGAACCACGUAGGGCGUUACAUGGCCACAUGUCCCUUCGGCAGCACACAUGGUCGGAUGAUGUUGGGCAUGACAUGCCAUCAUCUACAUUGGGCAACACACGCGGUUUGAUGACGUUGAGCAUGAAAAGCAAUCUUUGCCCUUGGACUGCAUACAUAGAGGGACGACAUCGAGCGUGACAUUCCAUCAUCUCCCUUGGACAACAUACACGGUUGGACUACUUCGGGCGUGGCAUGCCAUCAUUUACCUUAGACAAAAUACACAAGGACAGACGACGUCGGGAACGGCAUGCAAUCACCGCCCUUGGAAAGCAUACAACACCGGACAACAUCGAUUGUGAAAUAUUAUCAUCGUCUUUGAAAUGCACACACUAUCACACGAUUUUGGGCGUUGUGAUGCUAUCAUCGCACUAGGGCAGCACACACGGUCGAACAAUGAUUUUGGGUGUUUAAUGCCAUCAUUGCCCUUUGGACAGCUCACAUAGUCGGACGAUGUCGAUGUGGCAUGCCAUCAUCACCUUUGGAUUGCACACACGGACGAACAACGUCGGGCGUGGCAUGCUCGCAUGGACAUUGGUUAGCACACACAGUCGGAUGAUGUCGGUCGUUGAAUGCCAUCAUCGCCAUUGUGAAGCACAUGUGGUCGGAUGACGUCGGGCAUGACAUGCGAUCUUCACCCUUGGAAUGCACAAAUGGUGGGGCAACGGCGGGCAUUUCAUGCCAUCAUCGCCCUUGGACAGCAUACACGGUCAGACUAUGUCAGGCGUGGCAUGCCAUCAAGGACCUUGUCCAGCACUUAUGGUUGGAUGAGGUUGGGCGUGGAAGGCCAUCAUCGACCUUGGACAACAUACAACACUUCGAACAACGUCGGGCGUGGCAUGCCAUCAUCGCCCUUUGACAGCAUACACGGUCAGACGACGUCGAACAAGGCAUAUUAUCAUUGCCCUUGGACUACAGAAACAAUUGGAUAAAGUUUGGAGUGGAAAUUCUAUGAUCGACCUUGGGCACUACACUCGGUCAGAGAACAUCGGGCUUGACAUGCCACCAUCGCACCUUGGAAAGCACACGACGGACGACAUCGACUUGGAAUGCCAUCAUCCUAUUUGGACUACACAAAUAGUUAGACGACGUUGGGCGAGGCAUGCCCCCAUGGCCCUUGGGCAACAAAGACGGUCGGAUGACAUCAGGCGUGGCAUGCCAUCAUCACCAUUGGGCAAUAGAUGCGAUCAGACUACGUCGAGCGUGGCAUGCCAUCAUCUCUCUUGUGCAGCACACACGGUCGGACAAUGUCGGGCGGGGCUUCCCAUAAUCGUUUUGGAAAACAUACACAAUCAGACGAGGUCGGCAUAGCAUGUUAUCAUCGCCCUUGGAUUGAACACACAAUUGGACCAUGUAGGGUGUGCCAUGUCUACAUGGCCCAUGGGCAGCACACAUGGUCGGAUGAGGUCGGGUGUGGCAUUCUAUUAUCACCCUUGUGCAUCACACACAUUCGGACGACGUCUGGCGUGACAUGCCAUCAUAGCCCUUUGGAAGCACACUCAUACGGACGACGUUGGGCGUGGAUUUCCAUCAUCGCCCUUGGAAGGCAUACAAAGUCGAAGGACGUAAGGCGUGGCAUGCCAUCAUUGCCCUUGGACAGCAGAUAUAGUCGUACAACAUCGGACGUGGCAUGCCAUCAUUGCCCUUGGUUAGCACACACGAUCGGAUCACGGCGGGUUUUAGAUGCAAUCAUUACCCUGGUCCAGCAGACACGGUCGAACUAUGUCGGGCGUGGCAUGCGAUUAUCGAUCAUGGUUUUCUCAUCGUAUUAAUCUAAUAUAGCUUCUCGAUUUUCCUAUCUUAUUGUACUAGUUUUUAAUGUUAUCUUAAUACGGCAUGAAGAAUAUUAGUUUUCUAAUUUACAUUAAUGUUAUUAUAUUUAAAUAAAAAUUUAAUAAUAUUUUUUUAAAAUACAGCAAAACAAAAUUAAGGAUAUGACCACGUAGAUCUCAAAAAUAUGCAGAAUAAUUUAUUUGCGUUAAAUGGAUAUUCGACCCAAAGUUUCAAUCAUUUAAAGUUUCACCAAAUAUAAGAUUGAAUCUCAAUAAAAGUAGUAGUAAAUAUGUGAAAUGUCAAACGGCCACAACUUUUGAUUCACAUGUCUUAUUGAGUCAUUUUAUUCUCAAUUUAGUUAUUUUUUUAAUAUCUACGAAAGCAAACCCCUAGAGGCGGUUUGGACAACUCAAUUUUCCAAAAACCUUGUUUUAACCCAUUCAAUUUGAGUUUCCCCAAUUUUGAAGAAAAUUUUAAUUCUUUAUUGCUAUGAAUCUUAUAAAAGAAAAUAGAUUGUUGUGUUCAAAAUACCUGUGUAACACAUAUAAGAAUGUAUAGUUUAAUGUUAGAUAACCAAUUUUAUGAGAAAAAUAUUUUAUCCAUUUAAUACAUUUCCCCUAAUUUUGCCCACACUAUCAGACAACGUCGAGCAUUGCAUGCCAUCAUCGCCAUUGGGCAGCAUGCGCUGUGGACGCCGUUAGGCCUGACAUGGCAUCUUCGGACUUUGACAACACACACGGUGGGUCCACAUUAAGCGUGGCAUGAUAUCAUCGCCCUUGGACAACAUACAAGGUGGGACAACAUCGAGCGUGGCAUGCCAUAAUGGCCCUUGGACAACACAUACGGUCAGACUACGUCGGGCGUCGCAAGCCAUCAUCUCCCUUGGGAAGCAUACAUAGGGUCAUAUGAUGUGGCGCAUGGCAUGUCAUCAUCUACCUUUGAAAGAAUACACGGUAGGACGAUGUCUGGUAUAACAUUUUAUCAUCUCCCAUGGAUAUCACACACGAUAGAACUAUGUCAGGCCUUGCAAUGCUAUCAUAACCGUUGGGCAGCACAAACAGUC
rnacentral:lncRNA from 1 species